UACAGAGGGUGCGAGCGUUGUUCGGAAUUAUUGGGCGUAAAGCGCGCGCAGGCGGGAUGGUAAGUCGGAUGUGAAAGCCCUCGGCUCAACCGAGGAAGUGCGUUCGAAACUACCGUUCUUGAGUGUCGGAGAGGGUGGCGGAAUUCCCGGUGUAGAAGUGAAAUUCGUAGAUAUCGGGAGGAACACCAGAGGCGAAGGCGGCCACCUGGACGAACACUGACGCUGAGGCGCGAAAGCGUGGGGAGCAAACAGG
rnacentral:rRNA from 1 species